UACGUAGGUGGCAAGCGUUAUCCGGAUUUACUGGGUGUAAAGGGCGUGUAGGCGGCUUAGCAAGUCAGAUGUGAAAUUCCCGGGCUUAACCCGGGCGCUGCAUCUGAAACUGCUGAGCUUGAGUAUUGGAGAGGAUAGUGGAAUUCCUAGUGUAGCGGUAAAAUGCGUAGAUAUUAGGAGGAACACCAGUGGCGAAGGCGACUAUCUGGCCAAAAACUGACGCUGAGGCGCGAAAGCGUGGGGAGCAAAC
rnacentral:rRNA from 1 species